GAUGAAUGCUGGCGGCGUGCUUAACUCAUGCAAGUCGAGCGGCAGCGCGGUCUUCGGACUGGCGGCGAGCGGCGGACGGCUGAGUAACGCGUGGGAACGUGCCCCAAAGUGAGGAAUAACUGCCCGAAAGGGUGGCUAAUGCCGCACAUCGUCGUCGGAUUAAAGGAUUUAUCCGCUUUGGGAGCGGCCUGCGUAUGAUUAGGUAGUUGGUGAGGUAAUGGCUCACCAAGCCGACGAUCAUUAGCUGGACUGAGAGGAUGACCAGCCAGACUGGAACUGAGACACGGUCCAGACUCCUACGGGAGGCAGCAGUGAGGAAUCUUACACAAUGGGCGAAAGCCUGAUGGAGCAACGCCGCGUGCAGGAUGAAGGCCUUCGGGUUGUAAACUGCUUUUAUAAGUGAAGAAUAUGACGGUAACUUAUGAAUAAGCACCGGCUAACUACGUGCCAGCCGCCGCAGUAA
rnacentral:rRNA from 1 species